GAUGAACGCUGGCGGCGUGCCUAAUACAUGCAAGUCGAGCGAACGGACGAGAAGCUUGCUUCUCUGAUGUUAGCGGCGGACGGGUGAGUAACACGUGGAUAACCUACCUAUAAGACUGGGAUAACUUCGGGAAACCGGAGCUAAUACCGGAUAAUAUUUUGAACCGCAUGGUUCAAAAGUGAAAGACGGGUGGGCGUUCACGUAGUGAUGGAUCCGCGCUGCAUUAGCUAGUUGGUAAGGUAACGGCUUACCAAGGCAACGAUGCAUAGCCGACCUGAGAGGGUGAUCGGCCACACUGGAACUGAGACACGGUCCAGACUCCUACGGGAGGCAGCAGUAGGGCCUCUUCCGCCCUGGUCGCCCGCCUGCCGUCGCCCCGCCGCGUGCGUGAUGAAGGUCUUCGGAUCGUAAAACUCUGUUAUUAGGGAAGACCAUAUGUGUCAGUCCCUGUGCCCAUCUUGACGGUACCUCCUCAGACAGCCACGGCUCCCUCCGUG
rnacentral:rRNA from 1 species